UACGUAGGGGGCAAGCGUUGUCCGGAAUUAUUGGGCGUAAAGAGUACGUAGGCGGUCUGUUAAGCGCAAGGUGAAAGGCAUAGGCUCAACUAAUGUGAGCCUUGCGAACUGGCAGACUUGAGUGCAGGAGAGGAAAGCGGAAUUCCUAGUGUAGCGGUGAAAGGCGUAGAUAUUAGGAGGAACACCGGUGGCGAAGGCGGCUUUCUGGACUGAAACUGACGCUGAGGUACGAAAGCGUGGGGAGCAAACAGG
rnacentral:rRNA from 1 species